AACAUAGGGACAUAGUGAUAGGCCAUUGGAUAUCGACUAUAUUCCGUAUUUUAGACAUAAUGACAUAGUGAUAGGCCAUCGACACAGUUGCUAUAUUUCAUGUUUUAGACAUGAUGACUUGAGACUUGUGACAAACUUAUACGUUUACUUGCCUUUGUGCUCAUUCGCACAUGCUUGUGAGGGUCGCUCCCUACAAGUCGGCACUCCGGAGAUAGCCAUCGCGAUACAUACUUGCCGUGCGGGAUUGGGCGCCGAAGUGGAUUGCCGUGGGCAAGGCUCAUUCCUAGAGUGGGGAUGUUGACUACCACGGGGCCAUUAGGCACGGCACCGGCCAGACAGCCUACGGGUGGGUCUUCAGGCCAGACAGCCUUCGGGUGGGUCUUACAAGAUUUAAACUUUAAAUAGUUAACACGCCAUGUGGACAUUAACUAUAAUAAUAAACAAUGACAUUUUACUAAUACAUUGUGGACAUUAUGUUGGUUGUAUACUUGCAGAUAUUCAUGAUAGAAUAGCUUUCUU
rnacentral:lncRNA from 1 species